GAUGAACGCUAGCCACAGGCUUAACACAUGCAAGUCGAGGGGAAACGACAUCGAAAGCUUGCUUUUGAUGGGCGUCGACCGGCGCACGGGUGAGUAACGCGUAUCCGACCUGCCCACCACUUGGGGAUAACCUUGCGAAAGUAAGACUAAUACCCAAUGAUAUCCCACGAAGGCAUCCGAAUGGGAUUAAAGAUUUAUCGGUGAUGGAUGGGGAUGCGUCUGAUUAGCUUGUUGGCGGGGUAACGGCCCACCAAGGCUACGAUCAGUAGGGGUUCUGAGAGGAAGGUCCCCCACAUUGGAACUGAGACACGGCCCAAACUCCUACGGGAGGCAGCAGUGGGGAAUAUUGCACAAUGGGCGCAAGCCUGAUGCAGCGACGCCGCGUGAAGGAAGAAGGUCUUCGGAUCGUAAACUUCUAUCAGCAGGGAAGAAUAAUGACGGUACCUGACUAAGAAGCUCCGGCUAACUACGUG
rnacentral:rRNA from 1 species